rnacentral:rRNA from 1 species
GUGUGGCGACACAUGGAGCUGACAGAUACUAAUCGAUCGAGGACUUAACCUAA